GACAGAGGGGGCAAGCGUUGCUCGGAAUUACUGGGCGUAAAGUGUGCGCAGGCGGCUCCGCAAGUCGAGUGUGAAAUCCCCGAGCUUAACUUGGGAAUUGCGCUCGAAACUACGGAGCUGGAGUGUGGCAGAGGAAGGUGGAAUUCCACGUGUAGCGGUGAAAUGCGUAGAUAUGUGGAGGAACACCGAUGGCGAAGGCAGCCUUCUGGGCCAACACUGACGCUCAUGCACGAAAGCGUGGGGAGCAAACAGG
rnacentral:rRNA from 1 species